rnacentral:snRNA from 1 species
CUAUUGAAUAAGAGAAGAUCAGCAUGGCCCUGGAGCAAAGAUGUCACACAAAAUUCGUGAAUUGUCCCAUAUCUUU